CAGCAAGAGCAAUGAGUUCAUUUUUGUUUUCUUUUUUUGAUUGAGGUAAAUAAAAAAGCUUUAUCCAGCAACACGGAGAUAAGAGUCUGUCCAACCCGACAAGUUCCAGACCCCACCCUGCCCUCACAUCAGGCUCUUCCGGUACUGACUGUGCGGGGUGGUCUGUCUGAGGUGGGAGUCCGGGGUCUGCAGGUCCAUCUGUCUGUACAGGUCUCUCAGCUCCCUGACCUCCUGCAGCACCCUCUUUGCCUGGCUCCAAUUCGAUGAUGCCUCUCCCAGCAGCCGUUCCGUCUCCAGCAGCAGCUGCUCUGACUCAGAAUCCGGCGGAGACCGAGGGGGGUCCUUGGCCUUUCGCUUCCCAUCUCCCAGUCCCUGAACCUCUGCCAGAAGCUCCUGAGUCUCCUCCAGUUUCCUUGCUACCAGGUCCUGGAUCCGGGACAGCUGCCCCGGGUUGGGGAGGGCAGGGGUUGGGGGUUCCUCAGCCCGCAGCUGGAGGGUGCGGGCAGAGGCAGCAUCCCGCUGAGAUAGGAUCUCCUCCAGGGAGGCGCAGCGGCCUUUCUCUGUGGGCGUCAACUUCUUGGGUGCCUGGGGGGUGUAGGUGGCCCCUUUGUCUGUUUUUUCCCAAGGUCGGGAGAGACUGCUUGCCCGGUCUGCGGAGGGCUGGAUGCGGUCUGAGUCCGCUCUCCGCCGGCUCCCUGCCAGCUGGGCCACAGACUUGUCCAGGUCAACCCGAAAGCUCUCAGCACAAGAGGUUGGUUCCUCAGGGGAAGGGUCUUCCUCUUGGAUCAAGUCCAAGGUCAGCAUCCCAUCCGAGGUAGAGGUGGAAGCCUGUGGAGGAAGGGGGGAAUGAGUGGGGAACCUGUCAUCAGGAGGGAUUUUCGGAAUGACUGCCUAAAAGAUGCAAGCUGUGGUCAUUUUCCUCUACAAGCCUUCCUUGAAUGAGAAGUACUUUUUUUUAGAGACAGAGUCUUGCUCUGUCACCCAGGCUGGAGUGCAGUGGCACGAUUUGAGCUCACUGCAAGCUCCGCCUCCCGGGUUCACGCCAUUCUCCUGCCUCAGCCUCCCGAGUAGCUGGGAUUACAUGCGUGCACCACCACGCCUGGCAAAGCCCUCUGCUCUUGACUGAACCCUCCUACUGAAUGUGCUGUUUCUUAUUCCUUUGAUAGUGACUUGAAUGUUUCUUCUUCUGUGAUUUAGUUUGUUACUUGUUUCCUGUAUUCUCCACUCUACCAUAAGCUUCCUGAGGGGCGCCCUCUUCCUUGGUAUUGUGGACUCUCAGCAAUUAAACUGCAUCUGAUGCACACAGGAUGCUCCCCAUGGCACGACUGUCCUCCUCCAUCUGCAUCCUCUGAGUCCCACACUUCAGCCCCCUUGCCUUAUAAUAAAAUUUGUUCUCUUAUUUCCAGAAUACUAAAAAUGAUGAGUAUUCAAUACCAAAUAUGUUGUUUUAGUCAUUCCUCACAGCAGCCCUUCAAGGCAGGCAUGAUUACUGCCUCAUUUUACAGUUGGAGACAUGCAACUUCAGGGAACCACACAGGUAGCUGAUUACAGUGAGGUUCCAACUCAGGUUCUAACUCCAAAGCCUGUGUUCUCUGCAUUAUACCUGCCUGCCUCUCUCUCUGAAGACUUAAGAGCUCAGAGGCAUGAAAGAAACUAGCACGUUGUAUGUUUCAGGAGUUCAUUGUGAUCCUUUCUCCUCCAAA
rnacentral:lncRNA from 1 species